GGGGGGGGGGGGGGGGGUGGGUGGGGGGGGGGGGGGGGGCGGGGGGGGCGGGGGGGGGUGGUUCGGGGGGGGGACGGGUGGGUAGCGCGUGGGACAGGGCGCUUGGGAGGGGCCCGACAGCUGGAACCGGCGGCUAAUACCCCGUGGGCUGAGGAGCAAAAGGAGGAAUCCGCCCGAGGAGGGGCUCGCUUCUGAUUAGCUAGUUGGUGAGGCAAUUGCUUACAAAGGCGAUGAUCAGUAGAUGUUCCGAGAGGAUGAUCAGACAAACUGUGACGGCGACACGGCCCAGACUCCUACGGGAGGCAGCAGUGGGGAAUUUUCCGCAAUGAGCGAAAGCCUGACGUAGCAAUGCCGCGUGGAGGUAGAAGGCCCACGGGUCGUGAACUUCUUUUCCCGGAGAAGAAGCAAUGACGGUAGCGGGGGAAUAAGCAUCGGCUAACGCUGUG
rnacentral:rRNA from 1 species